AAUGAAUGCCACUUGUGCAUUGAGAGCUUAACAAAAAGCAACGGUAAUAACUAUGUGACAGAUUUGUUAUGAAGAUCAAAUUGUGUAACAGAUGUGAAAGCACUCACACUUUUAAGGACAUAAAGAGACAAGGAAAUAAUGCCAGCUUUAUCGGGUCCUAUUAUCUGUUAAACGGUCAUGUAAAUUCAUCUGUCUUUCACAAUAAAAGAACUUCCAUACCCGGCACAUGUUUCUGACCUCCCAGGUUUCUGAUCCUGCAAAUAGGUGUUUCACAAUCAAGGCAGGAACUCUUGACAAUAUAAAAGCAGCAGGCAAGUGGCUGGGCAGACACCAGAAAGUCACUUCUUUUGCCUCCAUCUGACUGCCCUUCGCCUCUUCAGCAGCAUGAGAAUGACAGCCUUUUUCCUGCUCUUGGCCCUGGCACUAAUCUAUGUAGAAUGUGCCCCACCUGGAAAACAGUUUGAUUGUAGUACGUAUAAAAAGUUACCACCAGGAGAAGAGAGAGUGUGUAAUAGACUACAUAAUCCAAUUUGUGGAUCUGAUGGCAAAACUUAUGGCAAUGAUUGCUUCUUUUGUUCUGAAGUU